AAAUUGAAGAGUUUGAUCAUGGCUCAGAUUGAACGCUGGCGGCAGGCCUAACACAUGCAAGUCGAGCGGUAGCACAGAGAGCUUGCUCUCGGGUGACGAGCGGCGGACGGGUGAGUAAUGUCUGGGAAGCUGCCUGAUGGAGGGGGAUAACUACUGGAAACGGUAGCUAAUACCGCAUAACGUCGCAAGACCAAAGUGGGGGACCUUCGGGCCUCAUGCCAUCAGAUGUGCCCAGAUGGGAUUAGCUAGUAGGUGGGGUAACGGCUCACCUAGGCGACGAUCCCUAGCUGGUCUGAGAGGAUGACCAGCCACACUGGAACUGAGACACGGUCCAGACUCCUACGGGAGGCAGCAGUGGGGAAUAUUGCACAAUGGGCGCAAGCCUGAUGCAGCCAUGCCGCGUGUGUGAAGAAGGCCUUCGGGUUGUAAAGCACUUUCAGCGGGGAGGAAGGCGA
rnacentral:rRNA from 1 species